AAGAACCUUUGGUGUCUGUGCUAAAGCUCUGUGAUGUGGGCCUGGAACUCUAGUCUAGAAUGUGCACUCUUAAUGCCCAGCUGCCUGAGGCAGCAAUGCAUUUCCCAUGACCUGGACCACCUUCCCUGUCUGAGGAGCCUUACUGCACCAUGGCUGAGCUCCAGCUCAUCUUCCUAGGUAUUCCCAUCCUUGCCUUCAUGGGUGGGAUGGUGCUCAUUCUUCUGUCAUUGUGCUACCUAAAGAGAAAUCCAUGUUUCCCAAUAUUUUGGAAACAGAGGUGUCAAUCAGCAUAAGGGCAGAGCCAAGAGAAGAAGGAAAGGUGGAACAUCGAGAGAAGGGCAUGACCUGAACGACAGGCAAGCUGUCCUGCCUGGCAAAAUCCAAGUCUGCCUUUUUUAGACCUGCCUUUGAAUAAGGAGCUGAUUCCUCUUGGAUGAAAUCACGCGAAUUACUCUGUUAUGAGUUGUCAAGUUGUGGUUCCCAGACCAGCAGCAUAAGUAUUGCCUGGAACUCAUCAGAAAUGGAAAUCCUUGGCCCUCACCCUGGACCUACUCAGGAAGGAACUCUGGCUGUGCGGUGGGGCUCAGCAAUUUUGUUUCAACAAGCAGGUAACCUCCAAGGCAGAAAUGACUGAAAGAUCUGGAGAAAUCUCCAGAGACGAAGCCAAGGAGGGAAGGAAGCCAAGGACCCGGGCCAUCCACAAAUUAGAUCAUUAGCUCCAGGAUAACUGAGAAUAACUGACUGUGUGACUAUGGCCAGAAAGUCCAGAAAGAGAUGAAAAGGCAAAGGAAAUGACAUGUGAGUAACAGUAUUUACAGGGCCUGUCACUGUCAUUCUCUCAACAAACAUCAUUGAGCACCUACUGUAUGCCAGGUACUUUCAACAAAGAGGAUGGCUACAGCAAUGAACAACCCAGGCAAGACUGCUACUCUCAUGUAGAUGACCUUCCUGAACAGUGCAGACAAACAACAAACAAGAACACAAACACAUAAACAAGAUAACUUCAGGUAGCACUAAGCUCUGUGAAGUCCAUAAACACAGGAAUGUGAUAGAGCCCUGGGGAGAGGAUGCUGCUGUAGAUAAGGUCGCCCAGAAAGGCAUCUCAGAGUAUCUGAGCUGCAACCUGCAAGAGGAGCCCACCCUGUGGAGGUCUGCUAACCAGAGAAUGGAAUGAGUGAAUGCACCAAGUAUGCUAGAGGGAGGGGGCUCCAGGCCAGCCACAGGGGGUCCAGGCCAGGCACAGUUCUGUGGCUAUUCACAUUGUGUUCUUUAGAGAUAUUGCUAAAACCUCUCUAGGACCACUGAAUUACUGCCUCUACAAUGGGGGUUGCUCAUACUGAUCACUGUGACAGGUACUGUGAGGAAUAAUGGGUUGUCAUGAGGAGCUACAUAAAUGCUGACUAAUGAUCACAAGAACCUUUCAUUCAAGUCAGCACCGUGAUAGGCAGAUCACACUUAGAUGCCUCAGCAAGUGUGGAAAUUAACAUGACUGCUCACUGUGCACACCAGCACCAUCCUUUGAAACAGAAAAAAUAAAUGAGCCGAUGGUCCUGAUAUUCAAAGUGGUUAGUGAUCAACUAACUGGAGAGAAAGCUGGUGUGUGAAGUGUAAAAUGGGAGCAGGAAGAUAAUGGCACAUCACAGCCCAGCACAGGCAGAGGGUAACUAGUGAAUCAACUGGAUGCUUGCUGCUGCACGUGUCCUCUGCUACAGAGUGGUCAUUCUAACCUCAUCAGGAAGAGGUGCUGUCAAGAAAAGCCUGGCAGAGGGGAAGUGGGGUGAGAAGGAGCCAGAUCAGCAGCAUCUCUGGCAGCAGCCCCUUCUGGCCCACUUGGCCUUGGUAAGCCUCCCUGGGGGAAGGACUGAGCAGUCCCACCUCACAAGGGCACCAAGGAAGUGGGGAGGGAGAAAGGGGGGAUGAGCAUUGCAUUGUCUCCUUUCUGGCAUGAAACAUCCCAAUGCCAUCAGAGACUUCAGUUGUCUUCACAGCUGAGCCUCCCAACACAGAGAUAUGAAUCCAACCCAUAAUUUCAGAGGAGUGUUUUUCAAACUGCAGGUCCUGACCCAUGACUGGAUUGUGACAAGCACUUAAUAAACAAUGAAAUAAAAUGGAAUAAAUAAUAUUAGAGUACAUCACAUGUAAUAAAGGGAAGUAAAAUUUCAUAAAA
ensembl:lncRNA